AGAGAAAACAGGCAGGCUAUGCCGCAUAUUCACUGGAACGGAAAGUGCACGCGCUCCUCCUUCGAACUUUGAACUCUUCCACAGAACCAUCUUAGCCUAUUCUGUGCAAUACAAAUGUCAUAUACGUAGGCCUAUUGAUUAAUGUUGUAGUUAAUGAGUUCUAGAGAGGGUUUAGUACGUUUAAAUUAUCAGUUAUGGCGAAGUGGUCGGUUUUACUCUUCUACCUCCUCCAAGGACUGGUUCAUCUCAUUACCGGGCAGCAGCAGCCGCCACGCGAACGACUGGGGCCUUGGCGGCAGAGGAUUCAGUGGGAGAAUAACGGUAAGGUGUACAGUUUGAUGAGCACCGGGUCAGAGUAUCAACCACCGGCGCGGCCGAGAAGCCAAUCCAGAGUCUACAUGAGCACUGGGAGGGAUGGUACCGGUCAGACGCAGCCUGGAACGCGGGAAGGCACAAUGGCGCACAGAAGACCUGGACCAAUCGAAUCGAACGUAGGUGGACAUUUACGGGACCAAACCAACAACGUUCUAGAUCCUGGAUCAGCACAUUUAGGACAUGAUAGUAGACAGUAUCUGGUACCCAAUGCUCGCCAGUCAGGGUCCAGGUCGCAGCCCGAGGUGCCAUACCGAGCGGGAGUGGCGGGGUCCCCUGGCGCACGGCGCUACUCACCAGAGUACACUUACCGUGUAAACGCCUCCGUCCCUGGGCUGCUCCCCGAGUUCUCCGGUAGCGGCGUACCGAGGAGAGGAGCCCCUGUCACUCAGGAUGUUACCUGGGAUGCUCGCUCGGGGCUUCCCGCUUCUUCAUCCGGAGGCAGGGAGGUAGUGCCUGUACCGGGCGUAGAAUACCAAGAGAUGCGCGCGGAGCCCGGUGCAUCCAUCUCCAGGCAACCCGCACUAACGGAUAAUUCCAACGCACGUUAUGUCAUCCCUAACCGGAGGGGUACUCCUCCAGGACCCGGACCCGUUAACGCUGCUGAGACAUCGAAUGAGGCAGCAAGUAAUGGCGAGGACAUGGUCUCGGACGACCCUCGGAACCCGUUUAAAAACCACCGGAAUUCAGUCUUCUACAACAUGUAUUCCUCCAGAGGCAGAACGCCCGUAGCACGCACGCGGCGGCCGCGUCCCCCGGCGUCCGUCCCCGGCACUAGAUAUUUUCAGAAUGGGCUCCCAGAUCUCGUCCCAGACCCGUAUGCCAUCCAGGCAGGUGCAUACAUCCAGCGGAUGCAGAUGUACUCGCUUCGCUGUGCGGCUGAGGAGAACUGUUUGGCGAGGUCAGCAAGCACAGCAAGGGACAUAGACUACAGAGUACUGCUCCGCUUCCCCCAGAAAGUCAAGAACCAGGGCACCACUGACUUCCUUCCUGUUAAACCAAGACACCAGUGGGAAUGGCACAGCUGUCACCAACACUACCACAGUAUGGAUGCCUUCAGUAGCUAUGACCUGCUAGAUGUGACAACAGGAAGGAAGGUAGCUGAGGGACACAAGGCCAGCUUCUGUCUGGAGGACACAGGUUGUGAUGCUGGAUUAGACGCAGAUAUGCCUGCACCGCCCAUACACAGGGGCUGAGUCCAGGUUGUCAUGACACCUAUGCUGCCAAUAUUGACUGUCAGUGGAUCGACAUCACUGAUGUUCCUGCAGGAAACUACUUCCUGAGGGUCAUAGUGAAUCCCAGUUAUCAUGUUCAAGAGUCGGAUUAUUCCAACAACGUGGUGCGGUGUGAUAUCACAUACACGGGUACUCAGGUUCAGACACGGAAUUGUCGGGUAACCAGGGGUUAAAGCAUCCCAUGGAUUCUGAGGUAUUUGUCCUCUUGUCCCUUUAAGUACUGUAAACAGCAACAAUAUCAACCGGUUGUUGUGGCCAAUAGCUGUUGUAGAUCGAUUUUUUAUUUUAUUUUAAUUUUUUUUUACAUUCCUCUGUUGAUGACAUUCCUUCAAUUCUUUAGUGUGUAAUAUGUUUGGAAAUCUGUACUAAAGAAGGCAUUUUGUUACUAAAUACCGAGGAUUAUGAGAUGACAUGACAUUGUGUAUUUUUAUCGAUAUAACAAAUCCAUUGAAGAAGAGGGAUAUUUUUGUAUUGUUUAGCAUGAUCUUGGAGAAGAGAAUGGAAAAAGUGCCUGUGUUUGAAUUAGACAUUAUGCCUGGAUAAUAUUAUUUGUAUGCUUUGAUGUUUGAUCUGCACUUGUAGUAUCGUUAGAUGCAGUUGAGUACGUCUUUAAUAACCACUUCGUGGCCAUAAUUAAUAAGUUGCAAACGCCUGGUCUUGUAUGUGCUAAGUAUCAAUGUAGUAAUAGAUUUUCUUUUACUUUGUAAGUAUGUAUGCAUGUGUGAGCGAAUGUUAUUUUAUUUUAUUUUACAUUGUAAUGUAAAAUUGUUUAUAUGCCGCUCAAACCAACAUUUUACAAUUGGUGCUGUUUUUGUUGAGGGUGUUGUUCUAGAUACAAUACGCAUGAUGAAGAGUGGGUGUAUUAAAAAUAAAUUC